rnacentral:lncRNA from 13 species
AAACCUCGCCAAAAUUUUGGAGGCUCUUCGGAGAAAUAACUAACGAAAAGUUGUGACAAUCGUCUUCUUCGGCGCACAUUGAGGUGCACAAGAAGAAAAAUGACAGGAAAAUUAUCUAUAAAUUGCCAGAGAGACGAUAUAUAUGCGUUCUCCAAGCAUUCACCUGCGCGUGCAAGGGCACCGGACAUACGGAUCGCACACAUAAACGUUGAGAUCAUCGGUGUGCUGUGCGCUGCGCGUUUGUCACACGCGACACACACGCACGGUUCCCGUGCAAAUGAUGAUUACUGCCGGUGUAUCAAUGUUAUGUGCUCAAUAGCUAGAAACUAGUUCUAUCAAAAAAUUUUUAUUCGUAUCCGCGCUGCUCAUAGUUGCACUAUUCUAAUAUAAUUUAUUCAAGUUCGUUUAGAGUGACAAAUCCGUUUUAAAUCAAUUUCAAGUGACAAAAGUGUCGAGUGUAGCUUACUUGAGGGUGUAUACGUGAUUGAUGGAGACAAUAGUCGGAAAAUAAAUCCUGCGUGCUUCAAGUAUAUGCUCCAGAGAUAGUAAUCAUCGUACAUUCGUAAAUACCGUGCUGUCCGCGCAAGAUGCAUAGGUUCUCAAAGCUGACUGGAAUGAUAGAGAAUUAAUUUAUCAACACGCGAGAAUGUGCACGGGGAACAAUCGGGACGGUCAAGGAGAACCUACUGAAUAAUCAGCUUCGCGAGGGAAAAUGAUUGCGCUGCCUAUGAAUGAAAAGAAGGAAGCCAUGAAUUUCUGAUUACCGUGCACUUUGUAAACACCGUUUCGGAGCGGAGAUCACGAAUAACGAAUGUGUCGUCCAUGGACAGGCAAAAACCUUUACCAUAAUCGUACCGUCACUUCCUGACAAAUUUUUCUGACGAAAUCAUAACGACCAUGGAAUAAAAUUCUCCCAAAAAAAAAAA